rnacentral:rRNA from 1 species
CCCUUAGAUGUUCGGGGCCGCACGCGCGCUACACUGAAGGAAUCAGCACGUCUUUCUCCUUGUCCGAAAGGACUGAGUAACCCGCUGAACCUCCUUCGUGCUAGGGAUUGGGGCUUGUAAUUCUUCCCCAUGAACGAGGAAUUCCCAGUAAGCGCGAGUCAUAAGCUCGCGUUGAUUACGUCCCUGCCCUUUGUACACACCGCCCGUCGCUACUACCGAUUGGAUGGUUUAGUGAGAUCCUCGGAUUGGUCCCGGAGCGGCCUCUGGUCGUGCCGGAGUGCCGAAAAGAAUGUCGAACUUGAUCAUCUAGAGGAAGUAAAAGUCGUAACA